rnacentral:lncRNA from 13 species
AUGUUAAGCGUGUACUGUAAAUGUGGUAACAGUUUAACAUCUGUGAUAUUCUUUGAAGUUGCAGAUGCUGAGGACUUGAGACCAUGUGCCACCUCAAGCCGGAGUGACAUUUUCUCAGUUAGUCCAGGUGGCAGCCAUGAAGAAGCUGGCAAAGAGAGCAUCAGAAUCAGUUUUUUUUUGCCAUCAAGAUACUGAUUUCGAAAUCACAAAUAGCCAAAUCAACGUCAAUUUCAAAUGAUCUUCAAGCAGUGGAGAUGAGGUUAAUAAUGGAACUGGAGAUGAUCCGUACAUAGUUCAAGAAUCCUCUGAACCAAGUUAAGAAGGCCAUCUCAUUAAGAAUAAUGUUGUUUUAAUUCUAUAUGGGUCAUGCUUUGCUUUGGUCCUGUGUUCUCUUAUGGGUCAAUGAUUUUAAUUACAAUAUAGCAAUAAUGUUCUCGGCUCAAUUACUUAGAAGGGCAUGUGGUACCCGGUACAUAUUUGGGAGCCCAUAUAUGUAAUGUUCGUCGUCGGAAUGAGACCAAAGUGUUCAUGAUAUAAUGUUCACAAAAAACCCUCAAACAAAAUGACAAAAGGCGAAAACGAAAGUAUACAGUUCUGUCAGGGAAACAACCUAAACAGAAAACAACACCCCACAAAACCCAAACGGAAAAUGACAACAUAUAUGAUCCCCAAUCAGAGACAACGAUAGACAGCUGCCUCUGAUUGGGAACCACACUCGGCAAAACAACAAAGAAAUAGAAAACUUAGAUUUUCCCACCCGAGUCACACCCUGACCUAACCAAACAUAGAGAAUAAAUAAGGAUCUCAUAAGGUAUACGGUCAGGGCGUGACAAUAUACAUUCAGGAUGUAAGGCUUACUAACUAGUUAUGGCAAAUAUUAGGAAGACCUUAUGGUUGUAACAACAAAAAAAAAAAANNNNNNNNNNGCGAAAACGAAAGUAUACAGUUCUGUCAGGGAAACAACCUAAACAGAAAACAACACCCCACAAAACCCAAACGGAAAAUGACAACAUAUAUGAUCCCCAAUCAGAGACAACGAUAGACAGCUGCCUCUGAUUGGGAACCACACUCGGCAAAACAACAAAGAAAUAGAAAACUUAGAUUUUCCCACCCGAGUCACACCCUGACCUAACCAAACAUAGAGAAUAAAUAAGGAUCUCAUAAGGUAUACGGUCAGGGCGUGACAAUAUACAUUCAGGAUGUAAGGCUUACUAACUAGUUAUGGCAAAUAUUAGGAAGACCUUAUGGUUGUAACAACAAAAAAAAAAAANNNNNNNNNNAAAAAAAAAAAAAAAACAGCAAAGUUUUAUACUUUGACCACAUCUUUUCACAUCCGUUUUAUUUGCUUGGUAGUGUAUUAUUAGCAUGGUAUAAGACAAGAUAAAUAAUACAAUUUAAGUAAAGCAUAAAAUAAACAGUAUUAUCCUAAAUUGAGAGAUGAAUUAAAAAAUGUGUUAUCACAUCAACAUCAAAAUCUUUCAGAAUGUACCUGUUUUCAGUAUAGAAUGACAUAUAUACAGAUUAUAUUACAACUAUUUGUGUUUUGUCUUAGUGAUUGUUCUUUAGUACAUAGGAAACUCAACAGUGUGUUAGUCCGAGAAACAUUAAUUAUAUAGUUGUUUUAUGUUUGUGAAACCUUGAAAUGUACACAAUGAGAAGUGAUAUUGUAACAACAGUGUUGAAUGUAUAAUUGUAUCAAAUAUAUAUCUUUGUAUGUUUGAAUUAGAGCUCAUUUAAAACGUUAUCACUGCCUGGUAAACACAUUCUUGUAAAUUGGCGCUACUGUAAGUGAUUAUAUGGGG